rnacentral:rRNA from 1 species
UACGUAGGGUGCAAGCGUUGUCCGGAAUUAUUGGGCGUAAAGAGCUCGUAGGCGGUUUGUCGCGUCGGCUGUGAAAACUCGGGGCUCAACCCCGAGCCUGCAGUCGAUACGGGCAGACUAGAGUGCUGUAGGGGAGACUGGAAUUCCUGGUGUAGCGGUGAAAUGCGCAGAUAUCAGGAGGAACACCGGUGGCGAAGGCGGGUCUCUGGGCAGUAACUGACGCUGAGGAGCGAAAGCAUGGGGAGCGAACAGG